GAUGAAGAACGCAGCGAAAUGCGAUAAGUAAUGUGAAUUGCAGAAUUCAGUGAAUCAUCGAAUCUUUGAACGCACAUUGCGCCCGCCAGCAUUCUGGCGGGCAUGCCUGUUCGAGCGUCAUUUCAACCCUCGAGCCCCCCCGGGGGCCUCGGUGUUGGGGGACGGCACACCAGCCGCCCCCGAAAUGCAGUGGCGACCCCGCCGCAGCCUCCCCUGCGUAGUAGCACACACCUCGCACCGGAGCGCGGAGGCGGUCACGCCGUAAAACGCCCAACUUUCUCAGAGUUGACCUCGGAUCAGGUAGGAAUACCCGCUGAACUUAAGCAUAUCAAUAAGCGGAGGA
rnacentral:misc_RNA from 1 species